rnacentral:misc_RNA from 1 species
GAUGAAGAACGCAGCGAAAUGCGAUAAGUAAUGCGAAUUGCAGAAUUUCCGUGAGUCAUCGAAUCUUUGAACGCACAUUGCGCCCACUGGUAUUCCGGUGGGCAUGCCUGUUCGAGCGUCAUUAUCCUCCCUCAAAACUCCUGUUUUGGUGUUGGGCCGCGUUGAUCACCUCCGACCAACGGGCCUCAAAGACAAUGACGGCGUCCGUGGGACCCUCUUCGCAGUGAGCUUUUGUUAGCGCGCGUUGAGUUUAAAGGACCUUCCGGGCCGGCCACCUUUAUCUAUUUUACAAGGUUGACCUCGGAUCAGGUAGGAAUACCCGCUGAACUUAAGCAUAUCAAUAAGCGGAGGA